GUGGUGAGAGAAGGCUCCCACAGGGGGAGAGGGUUACCCACCUGAGAGGGUUUUGGCCCCACGGGGAUGGAACACGGCCCCAACUUCUUCGGGAGGCAGCAGUAGGAAUCUUCCGCAAAGGAAGAAAUUCGACGGAGCAACGCCGCUUGAAUGAUGAAGGUUUUCGGAUCGUAAAGCUCUGUUGUUAGGGAAGAACAAGUGCCGUUCAAAUAGGGCGGCACCUUGACGGUACCUAACCAGAAAGCCACGGCUAACUACGUGCCAGCAGCCGCGGUAAUACGUAGGUGGCAAGCGUUGUCCGGAAUUAUUGGGCGUAAAGGGCUCGCAGGCGGUUUCUUAAGUCUGAUGUGAAAGCCCCCGGCUCAACCGGGGAGGGUCAUUGGAAACUGGGGAACUUGAGUGCAGAAGAGGAGAGUGGAAUUCCACGUGUAGCGGUGAAAUGCGUAGAGAUGUGGAGGAACACCAGUGGCGAAGGCGACUCUCUGGUCUGUAACUGACGCUGAGGAGCGAAAGCGUGGGGAGCGAACAGGAUUAGAUACCCUGGUAGUCCACGCCGUAAACGAUGAGUGCUAAGUGUUAGGGGGUUUCCGCCCCUUAGUGCUGCAGCUAACGCAUUAAGCACUCCGCCUGGGGAGUACGGUCGCAAGACUGAAACUCAAAGGAAUUGACGGGGGCCCGCACAAGCGGUGGAGCAUGUGGUUUAAUUCGAAGCAACGCGAAGAACCUUACCAGGUCUUGACAUCCUCUGACAAUCCUAGAGAUAGGACGUCCCCUUCGGGGGCAGAGUGACAGGUGGUGCAUGGUUGUCGUCAGCUCGUGUCGUGAGAUGUUGGGUUAAGUCCCGCAACGAGCGCAACCCUUGAUCUUAGUUGCCAGCAUUCAGUUGGGCACUCUAAGGUGACUGCCGGUGACAAACCGGAGGAAGGUGGGGAUGACGUCAAAUCAUCAUGCCCCUUAUGACCUGGGCUACACACGUGCUACAAUGGGCAGAACAAAGGGCAGCGAAACCGCGAGGUUAAGCCAAUCCCACAAAUCUGUUCUCAGUUCGGAUCGCAGUCUGCAACUCGACUGCGUGAAGCUGGAAUCGCUAGUAAUCGCGGAUCAGCAUGCCGCGGUGAAUACGUUCCCGGGCCUUGUACACACCGCCCGUCACACCACGAGAGUUUGUAACACCCGAAGUCGGUGAGGUAACCUUUUAGGAGCCAGGCG
rnacentral:rRNA from 1 species